rnacentral:misc_RNA from 1 species
CGCGUUUAGAGGACUACUGUUCAGUGGCGGUUUUCGCGAUCUUUGCGCAGUGUACCUCGGUUGAGCCGACGGUGUCGACCACCUUUUCCGAGCUUUUUGUUUGAUCGGAGAUAAAAGCGACAAUCGAGAACAGACAUCACUCAAUGUUACUGUAAAUUAUUGUGCUUUUUUGAUUAUUUCCGGCUGCAUCCAAUAAUUUUGGGUCUGACACUGGGAAAAUCCUUCUGCAGGCUUCUGACUGACAAACAGCUGCAACUUGUUUUUUUAUACGACAUUUUUUGUAGUGUCGGCGUUUUCAUUUUCCAUUGUUGACUGUCUUGACUUUUUUGUGUUUCCUUUUGAUUUUCCAAGUAUUCAUCGGACGAGUACGAACUGUAACUUUCUUCUUAUGGUGUAGUGUUUAGUGAUUCGCAAACAGUUGCUGUGAAGUUAUUUUGUACUGUGGAUACGAAUUUGAAAAAGUGACUGUUUUAUUAAAAAGUGUAUGGGAUUUCUUCGAGUUCAUCAACCAAUAGGUUAGUGGUGGUAAUUGACAUCAAUUGCGGUGGUUGGAUCUUGCUCCACUUGGUUAUUUAAGAAUUUCGUUUCGUGUGAAAGUGUUAAGACAUUGGGGCAAUUUCGCAAUUCUCCGGAGGAGUUUCAAUUGAUGAAAAGAAUAUGACCCAAGGCACUUCAAAAAUCACUUCCACGCCUAUACUUUUACAACGUCAUGAAUUAAAUUCCAAGAAAGAGUUCGGAAUUAGAAGAAAAAUGGCAACUAUAACAUCCCCUUUAAUCCUUUUACUUUGCUGUAUCCUGUCGACGUGCUCAGCACAACAGCAAUACUUCAGGGUGCAACCGAGAGACGUCAAGGUGCACGAAGGUGGUGAAAUAACGAUGGAAUGUGAAGUCGCGAAUUUGGCAGGCCAAGUGCAAUGGACCAAGGAUGGAUUCGCUUUAGGUUUCGAGGCCAUAAUCCCUGGAUUUCCUAGAUACUCCGUUAUAGGGGACAGGAGACACGGAGUAUACAACCUGAGGGUUAGCAACGCUUCUCUUGAGGACGACGCUGAAUAUCAGUGUCAAGUGGGUCCUGCCAGGAUGCACAAAGCUAUCAGAGCGAACGCCCGACUUAGCGUUAUAUCACCUCCCUCAUCUGUUGAAAUCUUAGGCCAUCCAAGUAAUUCGAAGAUUGAAAUAAGGGAAAACGAUGAGUUUCACUUAGAAUGCGCAGUUAAGAACGCUAAACCUGCUGCUAAAAUUGUUUGGUACAGGGGAAACGUUGAACUCAAUAUACCGAACAGAGAGGAUCAAGUAAUCGAAGUGCCGAACAAGAAAGGCAACCCUAACAUAAAACGCUACGACACCCAUUCCAGGAUAACUUUAAAACCCACAGCAGAAGACGACUACGAAGAUUAUACUUGCGAAGCAAGACACGAAGCUCUGCAAAGUGACCUACCGAUGAGAGCUACAGUCCAACUAAGCGUAUUUUAUCCCCCAGGAUUACCUUACAUCGAAGGAUACACCGAAGGUGAAACAAUACGAAGAGGUCAAACAGUCGAAUUGAUUUGUAGAAGUAGAGGAGGAAACCCCCCAGCUCAACUUAUAUGGUACAAAAAUGGCGAGCAAAUACGUAUGGCUUAUAGGACAGCUGGGAGAGUAUCGGAGAACGUUUAUACGUUUACUGCCGAUGCGACAGACAAUAAAGCUAGAUAUAAAUGCGAAGCCAGCAAUAUUAUGUCAAAAGCUCCUCUCAAAGCUGAAAUAGAUAUGACUGUUUUAUUUUCGCCUGCUCACGUAACUAUAUCCGGACCGACAGAAGCUAGAGUCGGGGAUCCCGUUCCUUUAACUUGUACAACGGCUAACAGCAAUCCCCCAGCGGAGAUUAAAUGGAUGGUUGGAGGAAAGCAAGUGAAAAACGCCACAUCGAGGACGGUUAUAUCACCAGAAGGGGGAUGGGUAACAACAUCGAAUAUUACAGCGAUCGUCGAGCCUAACAAGAAAAGUUUGGUCGUUAUAUGUCACGGUUUAAAUAUGCAGUUAACCGAGAACGUAGUAUCAACUUACACUAUUAACGUUUUACAUCCUCCAAGCAGCCCUUUUAUACACGGUUAUACCGAGGGACAAACAGUUCAAGUUGGAAGUAUUCAAAAAAUAUCUUGUACCUCAAGCGGGGGUAAUCCAUUGGCUUCUUUAACUUGGUACAAAAACGAUAAAAAAAUUCAUUCCGUUACAAAAACCACCGAUAAAUCAGUUACGGCUGAAAUUACAAUCCUAACGAAUGUUACUGAUAACGAAGCUCGUUAUAGAUGUGAAGCUGCUAACUCGGCCACUGAAAUACCAUUAUUUGAAACAAUAACUAUGAAAGUUCAUUUUCCGCCGGAACAUGUUAAAAUUAGGAAAGAUCCUCCAGAAUUUAGGCCUAAUGAGGAAGCAACUUUAACUUGUGACUCCAGUUCUAGUAAUCCCCCAGCUAAGUUGUCAUGGUGGCGAGAAGGAAUUCCCGUACAAGGUGUUUUAAAUACAACCAAAGCUGGAUUGCAUGGGGGAAAAGUUUCUAGCAUAGAGCUCAAACUUAAUAUUACCGAGCAAAUGAAUGGAAUCGUGUAUACUUGUCAAGCAACCAAUGAAGCUAUGCAAAGAUCAGUUCAUGACGCAGUUAUUCUUCAAGUUUUAUAUAAACCAGUUUUUGAUUCUGAAAAUGAAAAAUCAGUGACAGGAAUUGAAAACGAACCUCUUAUUAUCAGCUUAAAAGCCGACGGAAACCCCGGAAUGAUUUCUUACACUUGGACAAAAGAUGGUUUACCAAUUAUGCAAAAAGACAUAGGAUCAGGAUCUGACAGAAUCAAUUCUGAUGGGCCUGUUUUAAAUAUUACAAAACUUAGCAGACAUGAUGCCGGUACUUAUUCUUGUGAAGCCUUAAAUUCACAAGGCAACUCAGUUGCAACAGUAAACGUUACUGUUCAAUUUCCAGCAUUUAUCGUUGCCACAAGUGAUAACACAGUUGUUGCACCUAAAGAAGAUGCAACGUUAUCUUGUACAGCGGAAGGAAACCCAAUUAGCGAUGAUACAAUAACAUGGAGUCGAGAUGAUUUCCCAGAAUUCGACGCCAGAACUUCAGUAAUGUACGACAAAAAUGGAACUUCGUAUUUAAGAAUAACCGGUGUUAGCAGAGACGAUUUAGGGCAUUUCAAAUGUACCGUUAAUAAUGGAAUAGGAAAAUCAUCAAGCAGAAAAGUCAUGCUUAUCGUAAAACACAAACCUGAAGUCAAUCAAUCCCCAGCAUUCAUGAAAUUUGCUAGCGAUGCAGGAAACAUGGGAAAAAUAAUUUGUAGAAGUCAAGCUUCACCUUUAGCUAAAUAUUCAUGGUCGCGAAACGGAAGUCCCAUUGCAGCUAAUAAAACCGGAAAAUAUUUUUCUACUUAUAAACAAAUUGACUCAUUAGUGUCUGAAUCAAUUUUAAUUAUCACGCACGUCACAUCGGCUGAUUACGGUAACUACGAAUGCGUAGCAAGAAAUGAAUUGGGUUUCGCUACGAGUUCGCCGAGAUUAGAAAUCACUUCAUCUCCAGACACGCCUAGCUUGUUAACAAUACUAAACGUCACACACGAUUCGGUGACGCUCCAAUGGGUACCUGGUUUUAAUGGAGGCAUGCAAGCAUCAUACAGGAUCAGGUAUCGAGAAAUCGAAGACCAAAACUACAAAUACGAAGAUGUUCCGCCAUCGAAUUCGACUCAACACACCGUUAGAGGUUUGGAGAUUAGUACAGGAUAUGUCUUUUCCAUAAUGGCUUCGAAUAAAUUGGGUAACAGCAAAUACAUGCCAGAUGUAGUUUCAGCAAAGACAUUGAUGUUUUCCGAUCCAUUGGAAAAAUACAUACCGGAGGACCUGCAGGAGAAGCAGGACCUACCGAAGGUUGUUAUUAUUAGCGUCUCGAUUAUUGGCGUCGUCCUAGUUUUAGUCAAUAUUGUACUUGUUGUCGGGUGUAUGUUCAAAAAACGAGCAAAAAGAAUUAGAGAACAAAGUAACCAAACCAGCAAAUCAGCAACUAUUGAAAUGUAUGCUCCAAGCAGUUACAACGACACGGUUACAGGAGAAACUCUUUCCUCAGUUAGCGAAAAAAGUGAAACCUACAGUAAUGAAGGAAGUAACAAUGAUUAUGUGGAUGAAGGAAGAAAACAAGCCGCAAGUACCUACUUAAUGGAUCAACAAGAUUACAACAGCGCUUAUCCAGUUUACCCAGGAUAUGAAAUGCAAAUCCAACCGAAUGUAGCACAUAAAACUCACACUUUACCCCAUCCUCACCACCACCAUCAACAUACAAUAGAAAGAAGAACUCGUGAUGAUCAAAGUCUCGGUUAUCAUGGUACUAUUUCAGGUACCUAUUAUUACUAGCAAAGGACCGAAAGACGUAGAUGAGAUAGUUGAUAGUUGAUGAAUAAGAAGGAAAAAGACAGCUUUUAUCGACAGGAAAAUCGUCGUAUAUAAGCGCCCCAUCCCCAGCUCCACCAGCAGACGGAUCCUAUUUCAACAUGUCUGAUAGAUAUCUAAGUUAUCCACCGC